rnacentral:tRNA from 1 species
GAGAGGUGGCCGAGUGGUUUAAGGCACUAGUCUUGAAAACUGGCGUGGGGCAACCCACCGAGGGUUCGAAUCCCUCCCUCUCC